ACUCACUCAUUCCCCUCCCUUCCCUUCUCCCUGAAGAAAGACCAGCUAGAGAGAGA
rnacentral:ribozyme from 1 species